rnacentral:misc_RNA from 1 species
UAUAAAAAAUUAAUAUUCUUAAUAAGCAAAAAAAUUUAAUUACAUUUUAUUUAAUAAAAAUAUAAAAAAUUCACAUGUAUAAAGAAACAUAUAUUUCGAAAGCACUGUGAGGAGUGGACCCACCGGAAGGCGUAAUUGGUUGGCCAAGAAAAUUGUCAUUAGAAGUAGUUGGUUGGGACUUAGAAUUAAGUACUACGAGUAGCGGGUUUUUAAGUGCCUCGUGCAUACAAACAUGGAUGGUCAUGGUGGCGAUGGGUCAUUUUCAUGAACUAAGACCUCUAUCACAUUAAGACACUUGCACCCCCAAGAGAAUCACAUACUAGUGUCCACACAAUUAAAAGACAAAAUUAAGUUGAAUACGUAUUAUGGUAGCUUCAAAAAAAAAAAUAGUAA